rnacentral:rRNA from 1 species
AGCGAACGCUGGCGGCAGGCUUAACACAUGCAAGUCGAGCGGGCCCUUCGGGGUCAGCGGCAGACGGGUGAGUAACACGUGGGAACGUACCCUUUGGUUCGGAAUAACGCUGGGAAACUAGCGCUAAUACCGGAUACGCCCUUUUGGGGAAAGGCUUGCUGCCGAAGGAUCGGCCCGCGUCUGAUUAGCUAGUUGGUGGGGUAAUGGCCUACCAAGGCGACGAUCAGUAGCUGGUCUGAGAGGAUGAUCAGCCACCCUGGGACUGAGACACGGCCCAGACUCCUACGGGAAGCAGCAGGGGGGAAUAUUGGACAAUGGGCGCAAGCCUGAUCCAGCCAUGCCGCGUGAGUGAUGAAGGCCUUAGGGUUGUAAAGCUCUUUUGUCCGGGACGAUAAUGACGGUACCGGAAGAAUAAGCCCCGGCUAACUUCGUG